rfam:Pteropus alecto contig89849, whole genome shotgun sequence.
AUACUUCAGCAGCCUGUGUACUUAAAUUGGAACAAUAUGGAGAGAUUAGCAUGGCACCUGUGCAAAGAUUGCAUGCAAAUUCUUCUAUGCUUCUCAUUUUAUA